rnacentral:rRNA from 1 species
GCCAGACUCCUACGGGAGGCAGCAGUGGGGGAUAUUGGACAAUGGGGGGAACCCUGAUCCAGCGACGCCGCGUGAGUGAAGAAGUAUCUCGGUAUGUAAAGCUCUAUCAGCAGGGAAGAAGAAAUGACGGUACCUGAGUAAGAAGCCCCGGCUAACUCCGUGCCAGCAGCCGCGGUAAUACGGAGGAUGCGAGCGUUAUCCGGAUUUAUUGGGUUUAAAGGGUGCGCAGGCGGCCUGUUAAGUCAGCGGUAAAAGCCGGGGGCUCAACCCCGGCGAGCCGUUGAAACUGGCGGGCUGGAGUUGGAGGGAAGUACGCGGAAUGCGCGGUGUAGCGGUGAAAUGCUUAGAUAUCGCGCAGAACCCCGAUUGCGAAGGCAGCGUACCGGCUCCACGCUGACGCUGAGGCACGAAAGCGUGGGUAUCGAACAGGAUUAGAUACCCCCGUA